GGUUGAUCCGAGUGCAGUGGUGUUUACAACUAAUUGAUCACAACCAGUUACGGAUUCCUUUGUUUCUUCUCCACUCCCACUGCUUCACUUGACCAGCCUUUA
ensembl:misc_RNA Y_RNA Y RNA